AUGUGCACAGACAUGAAUACCUGCACAUGCCCAUCUCUACAAGUGGCUCUGCAUGACUUCGAGCAUGUGCAUGGUACCGCAGUGUCUCUCUGCAUUAUGUCUCUCCUGGCUUUCCUGGUCUUCCUUCACAAAUACAAUCUUGGUCCAUCCUGUAUGGCCAGUUUUCAGCUCUUCACAGCAAUAAAAGGGUUACUCUCACCUCAGCCUUGCAGCUUUGCAGCUGGAAUGUUGAAUUUUUCUUAUCGAAGUGGAGAGAGGGGAGAGCCAAGCCGCUCUGGCUGCCCACGGCAAGGCAGUGGGGGGGGUUCCACGGCUGGAACAGGUCCAUCGGCUCCAGGAUGGCCGUGGCCCGGCCCGGCCUGGCCCAAGCAGGGCCUGGCCGGGCCCACUGGCCCCCACACGGGGCCUGCAGCCACCUGUCCCAGCGCCGGAAACGAGAGAGAGCUUGGAGGGGGAGUUCGUCUAUUCUUAAAUGUGGAUCACAGAGGCGGUCACAACUUUAAGUGGCUUAGAGAAUUGUCCAUAUUCAAACUGGCCAGCUGAUAGGUUCUAUCAGGUCCCAGAGGAAACUGUAAGCACCCCUUAGCAAGGACAUCCCUUCCGGGACUCUCCUUGCUAACCUAUGACACCCAUGAAAGAGAGGUGUUAAAUAGCACCUGCACAGUGCUGCUGGGGUGGCCUGGCCAGAGGUGGAAACAUAACAAGCGACUCCCUCGCAGCACCUAGACGAGAUCAACCUCUCAGUGCUGUGGGAUCUUGCAAGAAUCUUUGAAUUGGUGGAACUUGUUGGCAAUGAUACCUACAGGCAGCAGUUUUUCUUCUAGUCAGAGAAGAGGAGGAAGUGAGAACAUGUGAAGAAGAACAUGGCAGCACCAAGGUCAGUGGAGAAAGAGGGGGAGGAUGUGCUCCAAGCGCCACAGCCGAGAUUCCUCUGCAAGCCAUGGUAAGUACCAUGGUGAAGCAAGCUGUCCCCCUGCAGCCCAUGAAGUCCACGGGGGAUGCAGAGAUCCACUGGCAGCCUGUGGAAGAAGUGCUCACACCGGAGCAGGUGGAUACCAGGGAGAGCCGUGAUCCUUAAAGGACUGCACCCCAUGGACAAGUGACCCACACCACAACAAUUAUGGGAAGACUGUUCGCCCGUGGGAGGGACUCACGUUGCAGCAGUUUUGGCAGGACUGCUGCUCAUGAGAUUAGAGCCACACUGGAGAAGUUCAUGGAGAACUGUCUCCCGUGGGAGAGACCCCACAGCAUAGCAGAGGAAAGACUCCUCUCCCUGAGCGAACAGAAGAAGAUCUCAAGUGACAAACUGACCAAAACCCCCACACCCUGUCUCCCUGUGCUGUUGGUGGGAAGGAAGGAGGGGCUGGGGGAAAAAAAAAGGUGUUUUAAAGGCUUCUUUUACUUCUCAUUAUCCUCCUCUGAC
rnacentral:lncRNA from 1 species